CUUGUUUCAAACAACUAUGAAAGAAUUUAGCAUUUAUGACGUCAGUGGGGUGGCAUGGGCGUGGAGUUGCAUGCGAGCAGAGAGAAGCUGGGCUCUUCUCUGCACCAGUGGUUUUGUGAAGGAGUCUUUCACUGAUGGAGGUUUAUUCAAGCCCACCUAAACACAUCAAAUUCCAUAGGAACCUUUCAAAAGUUGAUCUGAGAGUACUUGGAAAGGCUAGUCCGUCACCUUUUCCUGUGCAUGGGACACAGCUGGGAUCACCACAGAUCCAGCUGAGCACCCAGCACUCCCACACAGCCUGUGAUGCCAGGCUCUGA
rnacentral:lncRNA from 1 species